CCUUCAUGAAGCCGGAAUUGCUAGUAAUGGCAGGUCAGCAUACUGCCGUGAAUACGUUCCCGGGCCUUGUACACACCGCCCGUCACACCAUGAGAGUUGGGAAUACCCGAAGCCUGUGAGCUAACGUUAAGAGGCAGCAGCCGAAGGUAGAAUCAAUGAUUGGGGUGAAGUCGUAACAAGGUAUC
rnacentral:rRNA from 1 species